AUUGAACGCUAGCGGGAUGCUUACACAUGCAAGUCGAACGAGUGGCGGACGGGUGAGUAAUAUAUCGGAACGUGCCUAGUAGCGGGGGUUAACUACUCAAAAGGGUGCUAUACCGCAAACUAUUAGAGCGGCCGAUAUCGGAUUAGCUCGUUGGUGGGGUAAAGGCUCCCCAAGGCACAGAUCCGUAGCUGGUCUUAGAGGACGACCAGGCACACCGGGACUGGUACACGGCCCAGACUCCUACGGGAGGAAGCAUGGGGGAAUUGUGGACAAUGGGGGAAACCCUGAUCCAGCCAUCCAGCGUGUAUGAGGAAGGCUUCGGGUUGUAAAGUACUUUUGGCAGAGAAGCGGUAUCUGCAGAAGAAGCACCGGCUAACUACGUGCCAGCAGCCGCGGUAAUAC
rnacentral:rRNA from 1 species